GGCAAGGUGGCCGAGUGGUUAAGGCGGCGGCCUGCUAAGCCGUUGGGAUGUUCCCGCGUGAGUUCGAAUCUCACCCUUGUCG
rnacentral:tRNA from 1 species